rnacentral:tRNA from 1 species
GCCCCCGUUGUCUAAUGGCUAUGACGUCAGACUUCUACCAUUAGGUUACGGGAUCUGGAGGUUGCGGGUUCGAGUCCCGCCGGGGGUA